GACGAACGCUGGCGGCGUGCUUAACACAUGCAAGUCGAACGGAAAGGCCCUGCUUUUGUGGGGUGCUCGAGUGGCGAACGGGUGAGUAACACGUGAGUAACCUGCCCUUGACUUUGGGAUAACUUCAGGAAACUGGGGCUAAUACCGGAUAGGAGCUCCUGCUGCAUGGUGGGGGUUGGAAAGUUUCGGCGGUUGGGGAUGGACUCGCGGCUUAUCAGCUUGUUGGUGGGGUAGUGGCUUACCAAGGCUUUGACGGGUAGCCGGCCUGAGAGGGUGACCGGCCACAUUGGGCCUGAGAUACGGCCCAGACUCCUACGGGAGGCAGCAGUGGGGAAUAUUGUCCAAUGGGCGGAAGCCUGAUGCAGCAACGCCGCGUGCGGGAUGACGGCCUUCGGGUUGUAAACCGCUUUCGCCUGUGACGAAGCGUGAGUGACGGUAAUGGGUAAAGAAGCACCGGCUAACUACGUG
rnacentral:rRNA from 1 species